UUUACUUAUAUACGAAGAGAUGGUUGGCAUCUCCUUUGAUAAGGAUGGGAACAAUCUUCAGACUAUUCCUUCACAUAUGAUUAGGGCUAUCCACCAAUGGUGGUUCUUACCCAAAUUUAUU